AUCGUUAGAGACCAACAGGGAUUGCCCUAGUAACGGCGAGUGAAGCGGCAACAGCUCAAAUUUGAAAUCUGGCCCUCGGGUCCGAGUUGUAAUUUGUAGAGGAUGCUUUUGGCGCGGUGCCUUCCGAGUUCCCUGGAACGGGACGCCUUAGAGGGUGAGAGCCCCGUACGGUUGGACACCAAGCCUCUGUAAAGCUCCUUCGACGAGUCGAGUAGUUUGGGAAUGCUGCUCUAAAUGGGAGGUAAAUUUCUUCUAAAGCUAAAUAUUGGCCAGAGACCGAUAGCGCACAAGUAGAGUGAUCGAAAGAUGAAAAGCACUUUGAAAAGAGGGUUAAAUAGCACGUGAAAUUGUUGAAAGGGAAGCGUUUGCGACCAGACCUUUUCCUGGCGGAUCAUCCGGUGUUCUCACCGGUGCACUUCGCCAGGUUGAGGCCAGCAUCGGUUUCCGCAGGGGGAUAAAAGCUCUGGGAAUGUAGCUCCCUCGGGAGUGUUAUAGCCCUCUGCAUAAUACCCUUGCGGGGACCGAGGACCGCGCUUCGGCAAGGAUGCUGGCAUAAUGGUCGUCAACGACCCGUCUUGAAACACGGACCAAGGAGUCGAACAUUUGUGCGAGUGUUUGGGUGUUAAACCCUCACGCGUAAUGAAAGUGAACGGAGGUGAGAGCCCUUACGGGUGCAUCAUCGACCGAUCCUGAUGUCUUCGGAUGGAUUUGAGUAAGAGCAUAACUGUUCGGACCCGAAAGAUGGUGAACUAUGCGUGGAUAGGGUGAAGCCAGAGGAAACUCUGGUGGAGGCUCGCAGCGGUUCUGACGUGCAAAUCGAUCGUCAAAUCUGCGCAUGGGGGCGAAAGACUUAUCGAACCAUCUAGUAGCUGGUUACCGCCGAAGUUUCCCUCAGGAUAGCAGUGUUGUUCUUCAGUUUUAUGAGGUAAAGCGAAUGAUUAGGGACUCGGGGGCGCUUUUUAGCCUUCAUCCAUUCUCAAACUUUAAAUAUGUAAGAAGCCCUUGUUACUUAAUUGAACGUGGGCAUUCGAAUGUACCAACACUAGUGGGCCAUUUUUGGUAAGCAGAACUGGCGAUGCGGGAUGAACCGAACGCGGGGUUAAGGUGCCGGAGUGGACGCUCAUCAGACACCACAAAAGGUGUUAGCACAUUUAGACAAUAGGACGGUGGCCAUGGAAGUCGGAAUCCGCUAAGGACUGUGUAACAACUCACCUAUCGAAUGUGCUAGCCCUGAAAAUGGAUGGCGCUCAAGCGUCCCACCCAUACCUCGCCCUCAGGGUAGAAACGAUGCCCUGAGGAGUAGGCGGCCGUGGGGGUCAGUGACGAAGCCUAGGGCGGAGCCCGUC
rnacentral:rRNA from 1 species